UACAGAGGUCUCAAGCGUUGUUCGGAUUCAUUGGGCGUAAAGGGUGCGUAGGCGGCGCGGUAAGUCGGGUGGUGAAAUCUCGGGGCUUAACUCCGAAACUGCAUUCGAUACUGCGUGCUUGAGGACUGGGAGAGGAGACUGGAAUUCAUGGUGUAGCAGUGAAAUGCGUAGAGAUCAUGAGGAAGACCAGUGGCGAAGGCGG
rnacentral:rRNA from 1 species